AGGAGGAGAGUGGUGCUACGAACCAUAUUUCUAUAUGAAUCUGCAAGACCUUCGUAUAGAUCAGUAUAAUUAAAUGACUCUAUUUCGGCAUGCGACGCGUUCACCACUGAACCCCAAGGAACGUAUGCUAAGCCACUAUUUUGCACUAAACUAUAUUUGCCGGGUACAUUAAUUAAUAUUAUCUCUCUCACUUUUCUGAUAUUCACAAUUGUUUGUCCAUUUCUGUGCAAGAAAAGCAAGUUCCACAUUACAUUUCAAUUGAAACAUAGCACAGGCUCCAGGUUUAAUAUCUUCCCGAUAUUUGUUAUGCAAAAACAGAAUCAAUUUCUUAUCAAAUUUAUCUACUUCCACUGAUUCCAUCAAGUUUGGCGACGGUGGUAGACAUGCCGUAUGGUCGGAGUUCUGUUUACAGUUACUAGGGCAGUGAGGAAAUUCUUCGCACAAACCCAUCACAAACUGUAAUACACUGUAAUAAUAGCUGCAAUAAACUGUAAAUCUAUCCACAUUAAAUGCAUAAUUUCUCCAAAAUUGCCGAUUCUUUUACUUGCAGAAUAUACUGCAAUGUUCUUUAGAAGCAGAAUAUUUCCCAUAAUAGCUUUAAUAAAAUUCCAUAUCCUUUUGCUGUUCAUUAGAAAUAAUGAUAUUAAAAUGGUUAUUGUUAUUAGAGUGUUUUAAAUUUAAAAUGUCAAGCAAAAUCUUUUAAAUGCACUCACGUAAUCCUGUAAUCCAGAGUUGGUCACUUAGCUAUAUCCGUUAUAGAUUCCAUUCUACAGGUAUCGAAUAAUUUAGAAAGCUUGAAUGAUGUUGAAAUGUCCUCUGAUUAUAAUGUGGAUGUGUUUCACAAAAUGUUGUAUCAUUAGCCAUCAACCACGUGCUCUUCUUUUAUCGCGGCGUCGGCACCCCAAAACUGUAAUUUCCUCCGUGUUGAGCAGUUUGCACGUAUCAUUCAAGCCUAUAUUUCUGGUCUCUUCUUGGAUUUCAUCAGUUCACAAACGUCUUUAACGGCCUCUACUUUCUUUUCUCUCAGGAUGGCCUUGGACAAUCACUUAUGGUACAUUGUACAACAUAGAAUAGCUUUUUGGACUUUGAUUCUCGACUGAAGAAAAAACGUCCGUAGAUAUUCUUUAGAGCGAAAUUAGCCACGUAAAUGCUCUCAGUUUAUUGUUUUCAUAACCACCCAACAAAUAUGAAACGAUGAUAGAGUCAACUUGAUAUGGAUGACACUGGAUUCAACUUAAAAUUUGGAUAAAUCAUUUUACUGUAAAAAUUUUAUACUAUCAAUAGUUAAAUGUCUUUGGUGUAUUAAUAUAAAUCAUGGCACCACCCUGUUAACCAUUGAUUGCAGCGUAACAAACAUUUGGGAAAUCUUUAUAUUUCCAGAAGUCUAAACCACAGAUCUUAGCUCUCUCACAGUUUUUAAGAUGUCGCAGUUUAUAAAAUUUGCUUUUCAUAUUAAACGACCAUUUUGAAAUCA